UUCAUCCCGAGGACCGACUGGGCCACGGACGGACUGGGCGAGCGGAACUGACGUGUGGAUUUUAGUAAACAUCCGGUCCUUUAACUCUGGGCUGCGUAAUAACCCCCGAGCGCUUGGAAGACAAACGAUGUCAUCUUCCUUCUGUCAGGAGGAUCCAAGUGAAGCUACAGGAGUUUCAUUAACGUCAAUAACUUGGACCGAACACUUUGUUUUGCUUGAUGAAGAGCAGGAAGGGCAGCCUGGAGAGAAAGAGAAGCCGGGUUGAGCCCACUACCAUCAUCCACGUACCACGAGGAAGAUGAGGGAGAGAAAUGAUCCUACCAUUAAAGAGACUGUGAAAAGAACGUUGAGAACAUCACCACUCUACAGGAAGACACAGUCCAGUAAUGGGUGUCAGAAGUUCAGUAGUGAACGACAGAUACUGUGGAAAAAUGAAGGACUGAUGCAUUUACUGAGACGGGACGUGAGGGCCUACUCUGCGUGCUCAGAGUUCAAGCCCAGCAGGCUGCAGCGGGCCUGACAUAUUCUGGAACAGCAGCACAGUCUUUGGAUGACUCCUCUGAAGAUGAAAACAUGGUGAGUUCUUCUCAAGAGAAGCAGUACAGGUGUGCCUCAGCUCCACGGUCCCUCCUGCAGCCUCCGCUCCUGAUGCUAACCUCAUGUCUCCAUCACACCAAGCAGCAGACCUGGAGUGACAGACCUUUCUCCAGAGCUGCCCCCUCCCUCUGAAACCCCCCUCUCCAAAACACUAUUUGUGGCGUUUUUAAAGUCUUAUUUGCAUGAGAAUUGUUGAUCAUAACAUUUCCAGCAGAUGCCUUAAUGUAAUGUUUGUGCACAAUAAAUGACAUUGAUCAUAA